CUUAAUUAAUUUUAUUAACACACACACACAUCGUCACAUACACUUGGGUGCGUUUAUAUCACAAAAAUGAUUUAAAUGUUGGUGUUAUGGGAUGUGUGGAGGCUUAAC
rnacentral:sRNA from 1 species